rnacentral:rRNA from 1 species
AAUGAACGCUGGCGGCAUGCCUAACACAUGCCAGUCGAACGGUAACGGGCCGUCCUUUGCCGACGAGUGGCGGACGGGUGCGUAAGACAUCCGAAUGUGCCCGAUCGCUGGGGGUAAGGGGGCGCAAGGUUAGCUAAUAGCGCAUACGAGCUACGGAUUUAAGCCGGGGAGUGCAAGGCUUUACGCGGACUGUGCGGCCGAUGGCGGAUUAGGCAGUUGGUGGGAUAAAGGCUUACCAAGCCGACGAUCUGUAGCUGGUCUGAGAGGAUGAUCGGCCACACUGGAACUGAGACACGGCCCAGACUCCUACGGGAGGAAGCAGUGGGGAAUUUUGGACAAUGGGCGAAAGCCUGAUCCAGCCAUGCCGCGUGCAGGAUGAAGGCCUUCGGGUUGUAAACUUCUUUUGUACGGAACGAAAAGCUUUCGUUUAAAACAGGAAGGUCGUGACGGUACCGAAAGAAUAAGCGCCGGCUAACUACGUG